rnacentral:rRNA from 2 species
GAACGAUGAACCACUUCGGUGGGGAUUAGUGGCGAACGGGUGAGUAACACGUGGGCAAUCUGCCCUUCACUCUGGGACAAGCCCUGGAAACGGGGUCUAAUACCGGAUACAACCGCUGACCGCAUGGUCGGGCGGUGGAAAGCUCCGGCGGUGAAGGAUGAGCCCGCGGCCUAUCAGCUUGUUGGUGAGGUAAUGGCUCACCAAGGCGACGACGGGUAGCCGGCCUGAGAGGGCGACCGGCCACACUGGGACUGAGACACGGCCCAGACUCCUACGGGAGGCAGCAGUGGGGAAUAUUGCACAAUGGGCGAAAGCCUGAUGCAGCGACGCCGCGUGAGGGAUGACGGCCUUCGGGUUGUAAACCUCUUUCAGCAGGGAAGAAGCGAAAGUGACGGUACCUGCAAAAAAAGCGCCGGCUAACUACGUGCCAGCAGCCGCGGUAAUACGUAGGGCGCAAGCGUUGUCCGGAAUUAUUGGGCGUAAAGAGCUCGUAGGCGGCUUGUCACGUCGGUUGUGAAAGCCCGAGGCUUAACCUCGGGUCUGCAGUCGAUACGGGCAGGCUAGAGUGUGGUAGGGGAGAUCGGAAUUCCUGGUGUAGCGGUGAAAUGCGCAGAUAUCAAGAGGAACACCGGUGGCGAAGGCGGAUCUCUGGGCCAUUACUGACGCUGAGGAGCGAAAGCGUGGGGAGCGAACACGAUUAGAUACCCUGGUAGUCCACGCC